CAAUAUAUAUGAAAUAUCAAUGUGAUUGGACCUUCAAUUGGUCAGUGUGGCACUAGGAAGGCCCGGGUUUAGGGGUGCAACCCCCAAGGAGGUAGUGGAUCCCCUAACCCCGGGUUAAGGCCAGGUUUGGGGGACACCAGUGGGUGUGUUUUCCACUGGUGAUCCCCAGUGGGAAUCAGACCCACAACCCACUGCCGUUCAAAGAAAUGUGAAAAAAACAUCCACCAAAAUUGUAUUAAUUAUUGAGGCUAGAUGGUAGUACAGGCAGACACAACAUCAUAUUAAAUAAUACGUUUUACGCAUAAAUACAGUCAAUUUGUGUUAAUCAAUUAGGAUUAGUCCCUUUAAAUAGUUCAUUGACCAACAGAUACCAAAGUUAUUGCAGGACAUAUCCCAUCUUGGGCAAAGGUGCAACCGUUUCUCCUCUCAGAUCCUGAGAGACUUACGAUGUGACUUAUUGAACCUCUGAAGGUAUGAAGUGUUUGGUCUGGAAUCAAGGCCCUCGUCCCUAAACACUUGGGGUUUUAGUGAUGCUAGUUUGAUCAAUCUUGAGCAGUGAUUCUGAACUGUUGGCCCUUUUGGGACACACAGCAUAAGCCAAAGAAUAAUCUAUAGAAAGAAGCCCGUGAAUGAACUCAUGUUUCAAUGGCGUACCAUUUCAUUGAGUUUAGCCCAAUGGUUGCAAGCCUUUUGUACUCCCCUUGUUUCUAACGGUACUUGUUUGAUUACAGAAAUAUUAUGAACUAUGUUUGUUUUUUUCAGGUGGUCACUUAAUGACGCGAGUCUGGAGCCGUUACAACCGCCGUCCUAUAUAGUACAUCAAAUUUGAUUUAGACUGGUGGAAACUAAACACCAGAGUCACAUGCUAUUGCGUGUGUGUGUGUGUGUGUGUGUGUGUGUGUGUGUGUGUGUGUGUGUGUGUGUGUGUGUGUGUGUGUGUGUGUGUGUGUGUGUGUGUGUGUGUGUGUGUGUGUGUGUUCUGUGGAAUCGGAGCAACAGGAGUUGGGAUUGUCCGUUAACCAGUUAAGAUUCAAAUGAAAACAACUUCACGCAUUCUCUGAGUCUGGCUCUCCCCGAUGCCAUUGGUCGGCUUCCAGAAUACAACUCUAGAAUCUGUGUGCGUGUGAGUUUGUUUGUGUGUGUGUGUGUGUGUGUGUGUGUGUGUGUGUGUGUGUGUGUGUGUGUGUGUGUGUGUGUGUGUGUGUGUGUGUGUGUGUGUGUGUGUGUGUGUGUGUGUGUUUCAAUGAUAGUGUGCAUAAGCAAUCUGUAAUGCAUGUGUGCCUACACACAUACGACAUAAUAGAUACUUUGUGUGUAUGUGUGUGUAUGACAUGUUUGUGCCUGUGUGUGAGUUUGUGUGCGUGUGUAUAUACGUGUGUAUGUAUUAUGUGUGUGUGUGUGUGUGUGUGUGUGUGUGUGUGUGUGUGUGUGUGUGUGUUUGCGUGUGCGUGUGUGUCAAACAGCUGUGGGACUGUGAAGCUGAAACGGGCCUGAUGCAAGACAGAGAAAGAGGCGACAGUGUGAAACAGAGAGUUUUAGUUAGUUUGAGGAAACUUUCCCUUCUCUCUAUGUGCAACGCCGCGCAUAUUUGUAGUGUUAAGUUAUUAUUAUAAAUAAAUAAACUUUAUUGACGUAGGCUCAAGGAUGACACCCGAACGAGGGCGUAUAGAUUUGCAAGACAGUGAAUAUUGGGCCCAACUGGCUUUUAUUAUGCAAAACACCAGGAAGACGAGUUGAAUGAAGCAUUGUCUGACCCUCGUCGGUUUCAAAAUGUCUUUGUUUUUUGACAGUAUGCUGGGGUGUAGGCAGAGUCCAUCAGAAAUCAAAAUCGGUCCAUUGAAAUGCAUUAAUUUAACUCCGCCUCCGGUGACCCAGCUGGCCUGGACUGAUUUGGGUUUAAGGUGUCGGGGUGCUCUUGUGCUUUUGUCGGUUUCGGUAACUUUUACGACCUUACUUUACUACGCUGCUUUAGAACAUGUUUUUUUAACAGCACUGUAAAAAGUCAGGCUUUUUCUUUUCCAACAAUGUUUUUUCUUCUCGUCACAUAACAGCGGGUCGACAAGAGAAAGGAUCGACAUCGAACAACUGCUCUGGAUCCCAGAGAGGAGAACGGUCCCGCGCCCAGCGCCACGGCCAGCGGACCCGGAGGGAGAAGAGAGUUCCAGCCGUGCUGGGCAGUUCUUAAGAAGUGGAACACCUACUUUGCAGUGAGCGGUCGGACCCGGACGGCCACCUUCACGUUGGCCAUGGCGUCCUCCGACCAGGGCGUGUGAUGAUCCCGGCUCUGGAAACUAUCCAUGUGGACGCAUUAUUGUGUUUUUAACUUCACGCCUUUCCAUUAAAACGAGGUCCAAAACGGUAAA